ensembl:lncRNA novel transcript
AAAAGCAUGUGAAGGAACUAGCCAGGAUAAAAUGCGAGGAACAGAAUUUCAGAGCAGAAACUGAAAGAGUUUCACUCUUGUUGCCCUGGCUGGAGUGUAACAGCGUGAUCUCGGCUCACUGCAACCUCCGCCUCUCAGGUUCAAGCGAUUCUCCUGCCUCAGCCUCUCGAGUAGCUGGGAUUACAGCACGUGUCUGACACAUAGCAGGCAUUCAAGAAAUACAUGUGAUGGAAGACAUGAAUACCUAUGAAGAAAAUUACGCUAUGUUAUUGAUGAAAGCUAAUACAAAUAUGCUGCUAAGAACGGAUUCAGGGGUAUCCGUUAGUAGGUAGAAUUGGAAUUAUACCCUGAGACAACCUAUGCAUAAUAAUUUAAAAAUGACUCAACAAUAACUUUAUAUUCAGAAAUGUGCUAUGACUUUUAAAAUAUCUCCCCAAU